rnacentral:rRNA from 1 species
GUAGUUAGCCGGGGCUUCCUCACAGAUUACCGUCACUUCCUUCGUCAUCUGCGACAGAGGUUUACAAUCCGAAAACCUUCUUCCCUCACGCGGCGUUGCUGGGUCAGGCUUGCGCCCAUUGCCCAAUAUUCCCCACUGCUGCCUCCCGUAGGAGUCUGGACCGUGUCUCAGUUCCAGUGUGGCCGAUCAGCCUCUCAGCUCGGCUACCCAUCGUUGACUAGGUGGGCCGUUACCCCGCCUACUAUCUAAUGGGACGCGAGCCCCUCCUUUUGCGGAUUACUCCUUUUACCCCUCUGCCAUGUGACAGUGUGGUCUUAUGCGGUAUUAGCAACGAUUUCUCGUUGUUAUCCCCCUCAAAAGGUCAGGUUGCUCACGCGUUACUCACCCGUUCGCCACUAAGUUUACAACCGAAGUCAUAAACUCCGUUCGACUUGCAUGUGUUAGGCACGCCGCCAGCGUUCGUCCUGAGCCAGGAUCAAACUCUGA